rnacentral:rRNA from 1 species
GGGGGGGGGGGGGGGGGGGGGGGGGGGGGGGGGGGGGGGCGGGGGGGGGGGGGGUGCGCCGGGGGGCAGCGGCGGGCGGGGGGGUAAUGGCUAGGAGGCUGCCUGGGAGGGGGGGAGGGCGUCCGGAGACGGGCGCUAAUACCGCAUACGUCCCGCGGGAGACAGGGGGGGCCCGUCGGCCCUCCCGCUACCCGCCGAGCCUAGGUCGGAUGAGCUAGUGGGUGGGGUAAAGGCCUACCAAGGCGACGAUCCGUAACUGGUCUGAGAGGAUGAUCAGUCACACUGGAACUGAGACACGGUCCAGACUCCUACGGGAGGCAGCAGUGGGGAAUAUUGGACAAUGGGCGGAAGCCUGAUCCAGCCAUGCCGCGUGUGUGAAGAAGGUCUUCGGAUUGUAAAGCACUUUAAGUUGGGAGGAAGGGCAGUAAGUUAAUACCUUGCUGUUUUGACGUUACCAACAGAAUAAGCACCGGCUAACUUCGUG